rnacentral:miRNA from 1 species
CUCCGCGGGCCUUGUUAAAGC